GCCAGUAACCAGGUGUUUCUCUCUUCCAGGGCGCAUCGAGGAUAAUCAUCAGCCUUAAUAAGGAUUGAUUGUGUACUACCCAUCGUCAUCCUGAUUAGAUACCAAACAGAAGAGCUUUGGCCAUUGCACCGAGGAGGUGAACAGUUGGAUGAACGUCCCUGUUAAGGGGCACCUCUGGAAGAACCUUUAUGGGCUCCUAAUGACAUGCAGGUGGACGAUUUGCUUACGAUAAUUAAGGGCUCAAGCUUUACUCCCUGUCGCAGAACUGCAACAUCUUCAAUUACAGAAGCAGUAUCUGCCAAAGCAGUGUUUGGACGCACUCAUCAAAGCAUAUGUGUUUUGCUCUCCUCUUCCAAGCUGCUUCUGUGAGCUCACGCCAAAGUACCCAGCACUCCCUGUUGUUUGCAUGACACAUUUCUGCUCUCCCAUUUCCCUUGUUUCUACAUAUGUGAUGACCUUAGAGGUCUUUCCCAGCCUUAAUGAGUCUACGAUUAUUUUUUCCCUGCAAUCUCUCGAACCACUUUGCCCACAGAGGGAGGAGAAGAGAGGUGAUGGAGCGGGGAGGAAGGAAAAACGGCGUCUCUGUUUGGUGUUUCACCAAGCAGUUUCUAACAAGCAGUUUGGGAUGUUCCCCUCCCUCCAAACACAUCGAUCCAAUUUGAAAAUCCAGGGCUUAAAAGCACAGAUGUUUGGUGUGACACAGACACAGCAACUUCCUAGCAAGAGAGAUGGCUUUGCUGCUGGUGAGGUCCUGGGGGCUAAUCUGGGAUGAGAGGAGUUAAAGCAUCCUUAAAGCGGCUCACCCGAAACUUUCCUUCCCUCUGUGCACUAAAACAGCUUUCACAGAUGCUGCGGAUCCCUGUGGCCAUCCCUUGGUGUCCCCAGGGCUGGACCAGCAGUGGGAUGUGACCUGGCCAAUGGUUCCAUUGGAGUUGGCUGCUGGCAGUCCUUCAUGCCCAAAGAGAGCAGUGGGGAGAUGGUGGGAGUUAAUUCUGUCUGGAGUCAAAUCUGGUAGCACUCAGAAGCGCCGAGGAUGCGAGGUGGGAUGGUUUGCUUGCAGCAUGGGUGACUGCCUUAUUUUUUAACUCAUUAAUUUUAAUCUCAGCCCACGCCACCAAGGAUCACAAGUCAGGGGUGCUGCUGAUAUUCGUUGCUUGACUCUGAAUAAACAUCUGCCAUUUAUAACUGGUUCCUCCGGCUCACGUUGGAGCACUCAACACCUGAAUUGCCUCUGAGAGCAUCACAUGGAGACUGCAAGUGCUGCUCCCUUCCUGCAGCACAACAUCACACUUAGGGCAAAGUGUGCUGUAGGGACUGAACUGUGCCCACUGUCUUUGCUGCCGGUCCAGUCAGUGCAUGGCUGCUCUGGUUCGCCAUCAGCCUGCUCUCACUUCAUCUUGUGGACUGAUUUUGAAGCACUUACCUGAGCUCUCAUGCUGCAUGCUGGCAGCUCCUGCAGAGUGGUGGCUGUGAGAUGAGGCUUUGCUUGCAGCAGUGCAGCCUUUGGGCACCUUGGAUCUGAAUUCUUCUCUUGUUCAGCUCACAUGAUACUUAAUUCCUUGAGAGGGAGGAAAGGUGGCACCACCUAUACCAAAGCCUGCAAAUCUGCCUCUGCUGUAGCACAUGCUCAACAAGAUACAGAAUCAUUUGAGUUGGAAGGGACCCUUAAAGGCCAUCUGGUCCCACUCCUUGCAACAAACAGGGACACCCACAGCUCCAUCAGUGCUCACAGCCCCAUCCAGCCUGACCUUGGGUGUCUGCAGGGUUGGGGCACCCACUGCCUAUCUGGCAACCUGUGCCAGUGCUUCACUACUAUGUGUAGGACUCAAUUUUCAAUCCAUGUGCAAAAUGAUAUCUCAGAAUGACAUCUCUUGCUUCGCUCCCUCCCAGCUGAGGUACCCUUCCCUGCCUUUGGUUGUAGCACCAUUUGCAGAGCGUCUUCAAAUAAUCACUCCUCUUCCUCUGCACCUGCUCCAUACGGGCACAGGGAGGCUUGAGAUGCAGUAUAGCUUGGCAAACCAAGCAUUGAGAUAAAGAAUCUGGAAUUUAGAAUCAUAGGAUCAUCAAUGGAUAGGGUUGGGAGGGACCUUAAAGCCCAUGCAGUUCCAACCCAUGCCAAGGGCAGGGACACCUCCCAGCUGGAUCAGGCAGCCCAUGGCCCCAUCCAGCCUGGCCCUGAGCACCUCCAGGGAUGGGACAUCUUCAGUGCCAGGACCUCACUGCCCUCUGAGUAAAGAAUUUCCCCCUAACAUCUACUGUAAAUCUCUCCUCUCUUAGUUUAACACCAUUACCUCUUUUCCUAUCAUUGCAGCCUCCGUCAGUGAGUCCAUUCCCAUCUCUCCAGACUCACUCUGCCAGCCAGGAUACCAACCCAGUGCGUUGUGCGUCCUCGAUUUGGUUCAGAUUGGAGGCAGGUUUGCCCCUGGUUGUUGUUGGGCUGCGUUUUGCGAGGUCAAAAUGAGAUGAAUGUGUUUGGCUUUGCCAUCGAGCAGACAAAUACAACGCUGGGCUUCAUCAACAGGGUUUGUCUUGUGUUCACAAAGCAACAAGCAGCCACAGAGAGCCAGCUCUGUUCUAUGUGAGCUCCUGUACCAUUUUACGCCUGGCUAGGGGAAUCUCUCAUUUAAUGGCAAGACUGAGGAGCCUUCUGUGUAUUAUGCUGCUAGCAAGGGGGUGGUGGGAAGGGGUGUUUGUGUGGGAGCACUGCUUUUCAAAGCCUUUUCAAAAGGCUGAGACAGCGGACACUUUCAAAGAUGGGGAUGUCUCUGGUGCUGUCCGUGGCCAUUGUAUAGAAAUAGAAAUAACGUGGGUGGAGUUCUGUGUCAGCCCAGAUAGGUCUCAAUGAGUUAAAUUGAGCAGCGUUGCGAUGGUCCAGCUGGAAUCGUGUGUUUGCAGGGGGAAUGCUUUUAUACAAGAGUUGGGUCCUGCGGGUUUGCCUUUAUUGCUUGAUACUACAGAGUGUUUGAGUUCUCCUGUAGAUUCUUCAUGUUUGUUGGAAUAUCAGUAAAAUAGAAGUGACACGAGGUGAUAUUUAAUGCCUGGUCAGGAAGAUGGUGUUUACUGGCAAAAGGGAAUGGGCCGUAACAGCUGAGUUCCAGCAUUACCUUCUCUCUGUUCUCUCUUUCAUACGCAUCCAGGCUGCUGUCAUCAAGGAAACCUGAAAUUCUCUGCUGGUGCUUUUGCACACAAAAUGGCCAGAGAUGCUGUGAAUCCAUGGGGGAAUGAAAUAUCUCUGAUCCUGGUGCAAAUUAAACCUCUGAAGAUCUCAAAGAAACCAUUUCUUUCAGCCACCCCAUCGGUAUCAAUAGCAGCCCCUGCACCGGGCACUGGGGCACCAUUUUGGGCUGAGAAGUGCCCCAGUGAAGGAGAGGGAGAUGUUUUGUCUUGAGUGUGAUGGGAUGGGCAGUGCUGGAGGAGGGAAUAACCAAUCUGUCAAUGUGCUGGCUUUCACCCUGAGUUUUUUCCAAAGCAAAUUGGGUUGCAGGCUCAACCUCUCUCCUUUGUGUUGGGAAGGGACCUCAGGCUUCUCCUGGAGCUCCAUCUAGAGGGGAGGAAGAUGGGCCCAUCCUGGUGGCCUCCCUCGGGUGUCCUCAAGGAGCCUUCCCAUUGCUCUGGUGUUUCAUUUCUUUCCUUUGUGUUCGGGGUGGUGCUGUGUAGAGCUGGGCAUUGGAACUGUGAUCCCUGUGGGUCCCUUCCAGCUCUGUCACUGUGACUCUACAAACUCAUACAACAGAGCUGUAGUUACACCACAGACACAGUUUCUCCUGCACCAGUGAAGGGGAUUUCUCUACUGGCCUCACAGGUGCAGCCGUCCCCACUGAGGAUGUAGAAACCACACCGUGCUCUGUGGUUUCUUGUGGGUUUGAUGACAAAAGGCAAUUGGUUGUGGUUUGGGCUGGGGAUUUCCUGGCGAAACAGGUCGGAGAUGAUGUUCCUGUCAUGAUGCUCCUGCAACACAGAGAGCACUUUGCCCAUGCAAAACUAAAGGGAACGUCGUGGAGUUGUUGCACAGAACUGAGCGCACAACGCAGCCUGGCUGUCAAGGUGGAAACAAUCUCACAAAACAUUGCAGCUCCAGCUUGCCCAAUCUGCGUUCACAGGAUCAUAGGGUUGGAAAGGAUCUCAGGAGAUCGUUGAGUCCCACCCCUUGCUAAAGUGAUGUAUAAUAGGUCGGGGGGUCAGCAUCCAGCCAGGUCUUGAGUAUCUCCAUAGAAGGAGACUCCCCAACC